AGUUUCAUAUAUGGCAUUUCUCUCAACCUGACUUGUCUCUUAAAAGUUCUAUGUUCACUUGACUCAUGAUCACUAGAAUGCAAAUCUACUCUUCCUAUUCUGUGUGUUGAUGAGACUACUAAUGGCCAGCACAGUAUUUAAGUCAAGAUAUUUUCAUUUCAGGGGUUGUCAUCAAAUACCAUUGUGACAUAUAGUGUCUUUUAAUUCUAAUCAAAUACAAAUCAAGCUUUUAGGCUGAUUAUUUUAAUGCAUGCAUGGGUCGAGUUUUAGAAAACUUAGAGCUAUUAAGUUUGCUGUUUUAAUGACCUGGAGUAGAAAUCACAAAUACUAAGCCAUCAUUAUCCCAUCUUCCUCAAUGUCAAAUGAGGCCUUUCUCAAACCAACCAUGCCAUGUCCUCCAUUGAUUAGCGUCACCUCUAAAGAUGGUAAUUUAUUUGGAAUUGAUCGGUCAUUAAUUUAACAUUUUUAAAUGCCAAGAUUUAAAUCUGAAUACUAAGACAGGAGGC
rnacentral:lncRNA from 10 species